rnacentral:rRNA from 1 species
CCUACGGGAGGCAGCAGUGAGGAAUAUUGGUCAAUGGGCGGGAGCCUGAACCAGCCAAGUCGCGUGAGGGAAGACGGUCCUAUGGAUUGUAAACCUCUUUAGGCGGGGAGCAAUGCCGGGCACGCGUGCCCGGUGGGAGAGUACCCGCAGAAUAAGCAUCGGCUAACUCCGUGCCCGCGGCCGCGGUAAUACGGAGGAUGCGAGCGUUAGCCGGAUUUUUUGGUUUAAAGGGGUGCGUGGGCGGAUUUUUAUGUCCGCGGUAAAAUGUGCGGUCUCAACCCGGGCCGGCCGUUGAAACUGGGGAGCUUGAGUGGGCGAGAAGUAGGAGGAAGGCGUGGUGUAGCGGUGAAAUGCAUAGAUAUCACGCAGAACUCCGAUUGCGAAGGCAGCAGACCGGCGCCCGACUGACGCUGAGGCACGAAAGCGUGGGGAUCGAACAGGAUUAGAUACCCCAGUAGUC